rnacentral:misc_RNA from 1 species
GAAGGCAGGUGUUACCGGUGCAGAUUCUGUGACACCCCUCUUGCUCUCGCCGACGAUGUUCUUUCUCGGACUUUUAAUUGUCGUAAAGGGAGGGCAUAUCUGUUCAACAAUGUGGUGAACAUAAUGGUUGGGGUGGUGGAAGAAAGGUCAAUGCUUUCCGGCUUUCAUACUGUGGAAGAUAUAUUCUGUUGUUGCUGUGGACAACUGCUUGGGUGGAAAUAUGUGGCAGCGCAUGACAAAGGCCAAAAGUACANNNNNNNNNNNNAGGAAGGAAAGUUUGUUCUUGAAAGAUGGAGGAUAGCUGGGGAGGUGACUGAGGAAUUCAAUUUGGAUGCUCGACUUGGAUCAAGUGAUGGUGAGAGUCAUUAGGAAUUUGAUGCAACUUUGUGAAAUGAAUGGUG